GAUGAACGCUGGCGGCGUGCUUAACACAUGCAAGUCGAACGAUGAAGCCCAGCUUGCUGGGUGGUUCAGCGGCGAACGGGUGAGUAACACGUGAGUAACCUGCUGUUAACGCUGGGAUACGCCUGGGAAACUGGGCUUAUUCCCCGUUAGGAGUGCCUACCGCAUGGUGGGUGUUUGAAAGCUUUCUCGGUUUUGGAUGGAUGCGCGGCCUAUCAGCUUUUUGGUGGGGUAAUGGCUCACCAACGCGACGACGGGUAUCCGGCCUGAGAGGGUGACCGGCCACACUGGGACUGAGAGAGGGCCCAGACGCCUACGGGAGGCAGCAGUGGGGAAUAUUGCACAAUGGGCGAAAGCCUGAUGCAGCGACGCCGCGUGAGGGAUGACGGCCUUCGGGUUGUAAACCUCAUUCAGUAGGGAAGAAGCGGAAGUGACGGUACCUGCAGAAGAAGCACCGGCUAACUACGUG
rnacentral:rRNA from 1 species